UCAAAUACAAAAGAUAAAGAGUUGGAAGGAAUACAACCCUUGUUACAUGAGCUUUCUUCCUUGCCUUCUUCAUCCUCCAUCUUCUUCUUCAUCUAGCUAAUAACAAGAAUGGAUGAACUAUCCUACUCUAUACUAAGCUAAACUAACACUAGGAAGAUGAAAGAGCUACAUUUCUGCAGACUCCAAGCUUCUCCCGUAUAUCUCUCUAUCUCUUACUCUAUCAUCCCCUCUCUCCAUUUUGCAAUGAAUUUGGCUAUUUAAUGAUGAAAGGUUGGUCAAGAAAUGAUGUUUUCAACUCCCUUUUACAGCUGGGAAUGUUUCUCACAUGUCUAGCAUCACAUGUGAGUUGGUGGAGGUGAAAUUGAGUUUUACGCGUAUAAAGCAGCCUUUUCUGACCAGUGAUCCGAGCUUCUACAGUGCCUCGGAUCCGUAUGGAUCCGAGCUCGGUUCCACUAACCCAGAAACAGCCGAGGGUUCGGAUGAAUAGUGGAUCCGAGUGUGGAUCACUUGCUCUGUUUUUGGCCCAACUUCAACCGAUCUUUUGUUGAUGUUAGAGGCUGAACCAGCUCAUGCCUAAAACACGAAAGUUGUAGCCUUUUGAUUUAUCUUUCCAAUGCAUCAAGAAUCACCUCAUUUGGAUCUGUGUAGGCUGAGAUAUGACUGAAAUACCCUUGCCUGCUCCAUGCCUUGUUCCAGUUUCGACCAAUAGCAAUUGACUCUGUACUUCGGCUUUUUUGACCUGGAAAACCUUCAAACUGGAUUCGGAUGUCUUCACCAAAGUUGUAGAUCUAUCUCUUAUCUUCAAAUGGGUUCAAGAAUCAUCCCAAUCCGAUCAUUGUAGCUC
rnacentral:lncRNA from 1 species